rnacentral:rRNA from 1 species
CCUACGGGAGGCAGCAGUGAGGAAUAUUGGUCAAUGGGCGCGAGCCUGAACCAGCCAAGUAGCGUGAAGGAUGACUGCCCUACGGGUUGUAAACUUCUUUUAUAAAGGAAUAAAGUGAGGCACGUGUGCCUUUUUGUAUGUACUUUAUGAAUAAGGAUCGGCUAACUCCGUGCCAGCAGCCGCGGUAAUACGGAGGAUCCGAGCGUUAUCCGGAUUUAUUGGGUUUAAAGGGAGCGUAGAUGGGUUGUUAAGUCAGUUGUGAAAGUUUGCGGCUCAACCGUAAAAUUGCAAUUGAUACUGGCAGUCUUGAGUACAGUUGAGGUAGGCGGAAUUCCCGGUGUAGCGGUGAAAUGCGUAGAGAUCGGGAGGAACACCAGUUGCGAAGGCAGCCUACUGGGCUUUAACUGACACUGAGGCACGAAAGCGUGGGUAGCAAACAGGAUUAGAUACCCCAGUAGUC